AUUGAACGCUGGCGGCAGGCUUAACACAUGCAAGUCGAGCGGAGAGAGGUAGCUUGCUACUGAUCUUAGCGGCGGACGGGUGAGUAAUGCUUAGGAAUCUGCCUAUUAGUGGGGGACAACAUUUCGAAAGGAAUGCUAAUACCGCAUACGUCCUACGGGAGAAAGCAGGGGAUCUUCGGACCAUGCGCUAAUAGAUGAGACGCAGUCGGAUUAGCUAGUUGGGGGGGUAAAGGCCCACCAAGGCGACGAUCUGUAGCGGGUCUGAGAGGAUGAUCCGCCACACUGGGACUGAGACACGGCCCAGACUCCUACGGGAGGCAGCAGUGGGGAAUAUUGGACAAUGGGCGCAAGCCUGAUCCAGCCAUGCCGCGUGUGUGAAGAAGGCCUUAUGGUUGUAAAGCACUUUAAGCGAGGAGGAGGCUACUUUAGAUAAUACCUAGAGAUAGUGGACGUUACUCGCAGAAUAAGCACCGGCUAACUCUGUGCCAGCCGCCGCCGUAA
rnacentral:rRNA from 1 species